rnacentral:misc_RNA from 1 species
GCUUUCCACUAGGAAUUUUGCCCACCGUCUUGGUGCGUUGGAGGAUCUCGUGCUCCGACUUGAUCUUUACAGGAAAUUGGAGAGGCACAAAGGUUGUGUGAACACCGUGAGCUUUAAUGCUGCUGGUGACAUUUUAGUGUCAGGCUCUGAUGAUAGGCGGGUGAUUCUCUGGAAUUGGGAAACCGGGCAUGUUAAGCUCUCUUUUCAGUCUGGUCACAAUAACAAUGUUUUUCAAGCUAAAAUCAUGCCUUACACAGAUGACAGAAGCCUUGUGACUUGUGCUGCGGAUGGGCAGGUGAGACAUGCUCAGAUUCUGAAUAGUGGGCGUGUGGAAACUGCACUACUUGGCAAUCAUCUAGGGCGAGCUCAUAAGUUGGCCAUUGAACCUGGUAGCCCUUAUAUGUUUUAUACUUGUGGUGAAGAUGGAUUG